rnacentral:lncRNA from 1 species
CAGCAUAUCAAUAAAUACAUACAUGCUAGAUAGUUUACAUUAUUGUUUGUUUAGAUUAAUGUUCAUUUAGGCAUGCUUUUAGUUAAUGGAUUUAAUUAUUUAUAUAAGCCUCAAUCUCAGACCUAGACUGCACUACUAAAUUUAUGAACUCUGUGUAAUAUGGCAAAGACGUCCAUUUUAUUAGAUAUCAACACUGUCUUUACCAAGUUGUCUUGCUCUUAUGAUGUUCUUGGUAAGUCAAGUUACUUCAACCUUCUUUGAUGUUCUCCUGCUAUUAAAGAGCUUGUUAUGUUCACCAUGUAUGUUUCUCAUUUGUUAUAAUUUUCAUUAAUUGUUUUGCUACACUGGAGUCUCAUAGCUAACUCAAAAGUAAAGUGUAACUAUAAUGAAAUGCUACUUCGAUGUUACUGUAGAGCAGAUUUGCAGUUCUUCAUGAAAUCAGGUGCAGUUCUAAUCAUGCAAGAGUUUGGGAGUUGGUCUCCUGUGAAAGUAAAGAAGAAGAGGGACCUACUAAUGGAUAAUAGGUAGCUCAUAUUUGAUAGGUAAGAGAUGAACUUCUCACUUCCUAGGUAACUAUUACUGCUUUACAUUUUAAUGGAUGGUCAUGUAUUUCGUUGAUUGGGGUAUCAAAAUUUUAGUUUAUGAGAUAAGCUGAUGGAUACUUAUUGGUUUCACAUGUAUUGAAAUAUUAUUCCUAAGAAAAUAGUCGCGGGAAGACAACCUCAUAGCUUAUAGAGAGUAUGUCAGACAAGUGAAUGGUUCACACUUCUGACUUUCGGGAUAGAGUAUAAAUUGAAGUGAGAUAUGUUUAACUGGUACUUUUUAUGUUUUAUCAUUUAGUGUCUUAAAUAUAAUGAAAUUCAUCCAAGAAGAAAGUUAUUGAGCUAAAUGUCGACAUAAGCCAAAGGAGGUGGUGACAAGAUGCAAUGUAAUGCAAACAUCCUUAUGUCAAAGUGCCAAUUAUAUGGGGUUCAAGGGCUUAACAGGCAGUGAGGAGUAUGCAAUUUAUGUGUUGUGUUUUUGUCUUCUGAAUUCUUUUUUCGUCAAGAUGUUAGAGAUACUUGUAAAAUUUUAUGUGUAAGGUUGAAGGAGGUGCUGAAAUUGAUGCAU